UAUUUUCCUUUUUUUUCUUUCUUUUAUGAGUCAUUUUCUUUCUUAUCUAUCAAAUGUACAGAUCAAGUGAUUUCUGAUAUAGGUUGAUCCUUUGAAGGUUACACAUCUCUAACUUGUUUAUUUUGUCACUCUAUUCAUCUGUGUAUCCUCUUAUUUUCAAUUUUAUUCUUGCCUCACCAAGGAUUAUGAUCGGGUUUUUUGUAUUGUUUUGAUGAGAUUGAGAUGUUUGUUAGGAUUAUGAGGAUCUCACAAUAAUAAAGGUGAUGCUAAUGUAACCCUGGUAAAAUGAUUGAGUUGGUUGCCUUUAUACCACAUGAUCUCAUUUUCAUUUUCUUAUAAUUAUUCUGUUUUCUUUUUUCUUUUUCAUUUUCUACUUAUAGAUAGUAUUUUAGCAUAUUUUUUAAUCUGUAUAACUUAUGUUAAUUGUUUAAUUAUCAGAAUAUAGAAGAUAACAUUCUAUGUUCUUUAGGACAUAAGUAUAUAUUUAAUUAAUUUUGAUGUUCAAUACAUAUCUUUCUAAACUAUUUAAUGUCAAGCUUUGUUAAUCAUUACAUGUUCGAUUGAUUUAUAUAAGUGAGGAUGUACUUAAUAGAAAUAUUUAACUUACACUAUUUAAUAGAAAUCUCUUGUUCAUGAUCACUUUAUGAUUGUAUAAACAAAAUACAAAGGGUAAAAAAAUACGUACACUUGAUAAAUUGUCAUAUUUUCCUUUUUUUUCUUUCUUUUCUGAGUCAUUUUCUUUCUUAUCUAUCAAAUGUACAGAUCAAGUGAUUUCUGAUAUAGGUUGAUCUUUUGAAGGUUACACAUCUCUAACUUGUUUAUUUUGUCACUCUAUUCAUCUGUGUUUCCUCUUAUUUUCAAUUUUAUUCUUGCCUCACCAAUGAUUAUGAUCGGGUUUUUUGUAUUGUUUUGAUGAGAUUGAGAUGUUUGUUAGGAUUAUGAGGAUCUCACAAUAAUAAAGGUGAUGCUAAUGUAACACUGGAAAAAUGAUUGAGUUGGUUUCCUUUAUACCACAUGAUCUCAUGUUCAUUUUCUUAUAAUUAUUCUUUUUUCUUUUUUCUUUUUCAUUUUUUACUUGUAAUUAGUAUUUUAACAUAUUUUUUUAUCUGUAUAACUUAUGUUAAUUGUUUAAUUAUCAGAAUAUAGAAGAUGACAUUGUAUGUUCUUUAGGAUAUAAGUAUAUAUUUAAUUAAUUUUAAUGUUCAAUACAUAUCUUUCUAACUAUUUAAUGUCAAGGUUUCUUAAUCAUUACAUGUUCGAUUGAUUUAUAUAAGUGAGGAUGUACUUAAAAGAAAUAUUUAGCUUACACUAUUUAAUAGAAAUCUCUUGUUCAUGAUCACUUUAUGAUUGUAUAAACAAAAUACAAAGUGUAAAAAAUACGUACACUUGAUAAAUUGUCAUAUUUUCCUUUUUUUUCUAUCUUUUAUGAGUCAUUUUCUUUCUAAUCUAUCAAAUGUACAGAUCAAGUGAUUUCUGAUAUAGGUUGAUCCUUUGAAGGUUACACAUCUCUAACUUGUUUAUUUUGUCACUCUAUUCAUCUGUGUAUCCUCUUAUUUUCAAUUUUAUUCUUUCCUCACCAAUGAUUAUGAUCGGGUUUUUUGUAUUGUUUUAUUGAGAUUGAGAUGUUUGUUAGGAUUAUGAGGAUCUCACAGUAAUAAAGGUGAUGCUAUUGUAACACUGGAAAAAUGAUUGAGUUGGUUUCCUUUAUACGACACGAUCUCAUUUUCAUUUUCUUAUAAUUAUUCUGUUUUCUUGUUUUCUUUUUCAUUUUCUACUUAUAAUUAGUAUUUUUGCAUAUUUUUUAAUCUGUAUAACUUAUGUUAAUUGUUUAAUUAUCAGAAUAUAGAAGAUGACAUUGUAUGUUCUUUAGGAUAUAAGUAUAUAUUUAAUUAAUUUUGAUGUUCAAUACAUAUCUUUCUAAACUAUUUAAUGUCAAGGUUUGUUAAUCAUUACAUGUUCGAUUGAUUUAUAUAAGUGAGGAUGUACUUAAUAGAAAUAUUUAGCUUACACUAUUUAAUAGAAAUCUCUUGUUCAUGAUCACUUUAUGAUUGUAUAAACAAAAUACAAAGGGUAAAAAAAUACGUACACUUGAUAAAUUGUCAUAUUUUCCUUUUUUUUCUUUCUUUUAUGAGUCAUUUUCUUUCUUAUCUAUCAAAUGUACAGAUCAAGUGAUUUCUGAUAUAGGUUGAUCUUUUGAAGGUUACACAUCUCUAACUUGUUUAUUUUGUCACUCUAUUCAUCUGUGUUUCCUCUUAUUUUCAAUUUUAUUCUUGCCUCACCAAUGAUUAUGAUCGGGUUUUUUGUAUUGUUUUGAUGAGAUUGAGAUGUUUGUUAGGAUUAUGAGGAUCUCACAAUAAUAAAGGUGAUGCUAAUGUAACACUGGAAAAAUGAUUGAGUUGGUUUCCUUUAUACCACACGAUCUCAUUUUCAUUUUCUUAUAAUUAUUCUGUUUUCUUUUUUUCUUUUUCAUUUUCUACUUAUAAUUAGUAUUUUAGCAUAUUUUUUAAUCUGUAUAACUUAUGUUAAUUGUUUAAUUAUCAGAAUAUAGAAGAUGACAUUGUAUGUUCUUUAGGAUAUAAGUAUAUAUUUAAUUAAUUUUGAUGUUCAAUACAUAUCUUUCUAAACUAUUUAAUGUCAAGGUUUGUUAAUCAUUACAUGUUCGAUUGAUUUAUAUAAGUGAGGAUGUACUUAAUAGAAAUAUUUAGCUUACACUAUUUAAUAGAAAUCUCUUGUUCAUGAUCACUUUAUGAUUGUAUAAACAAAAUACAAAGGGUAAAAAAAUACGUACACUUGAUAAAUUGUCAUAUUUUCCUUUUUUUUCUUUCUUUUAUGAGUCAUUUUCUUUCUUAUCUAUCAAAUGUACAGAUCAAGUGAUUUCUGAUAUAGGUUGAUCUUUUGAAGGUUACACAUCUCUAACUUGUUUAUUUUGUCACUCUAUUCAUCUGUGUUUCCUCUUAUUUUCAAUUUUAUUCUUGCCUCACCAAUGAUUAUGAUCGGGUUUUUUGUAUUGUUUUGAUGAGAUUGAGAUGUUUGUUAGGAUUAUGAGGAUCUCACAAUAAUAAAGGUGAUGCUAAUGUAACACUGGAAAAAUGAUUGAGUUGGUUUCCUUUAUACCACACGAUCUCAUUUUCAUUUUCUUAUAAUUAUUCUGUUUUCUUUUUUUCUUUUUCAUUUUCUACUUAUAAUUAGUAUUUUAGCAUAUUUUUUAAUCUGUAUAACUUAUGUUAAUUGUUUAAUUAUCAGAAUAUAGAAGAUGACAUUGUAUGUUCUUUAGGAUAUAAGUAUAUAUUUAAUUAAUUUUGAUGUUCAAUACAUAUCUUUCUAAACUAUUUAAUGUCAAGGUUUGUUAAUCAUUACAUGUUCGAUUGAUUUAUAUAAGUGAGGAUGUACUUAAUAGAAAUAUUUAGCUUACACUAUUUAAUAGAAAUCUCUUGUUCAUGAUCACUUUAUGAUUGUAUAAACAAAAUACAAAGGGUAAAAAAAUACGUACACUUGAUAAAUUGUCAUAUUUUCCUUUUUUUUCUUUCUUUUAUGAGUCAUUUUCUUUCUUAUCUAUCAAAUGUACAGAUCAAGUGAUUUCUGAUAUAGGUUGAUCUUUUGAAGGUUACACAUCUCUAACUUGUUUAUUUUGUCACUCUAUUCAUCUGUGUUUCCUCUUAUUUUCAAUUUUAUUCUUGCCUCACCAAUGAUUAUGAUCGGGUUUUUUGUAUUGUUUUGAUGAGAUUGAGAUGUUUGUUAGGAUUAUGAGGAUCUCACAAUAAUAAAGGUGAUGCUAAUGUAACACUGGAAAAAUGAUUGAGUUGGUUUCCUUUAUACCACACGAUCUCAUUUUCAUUUUCUUAUAAUUAUUCUGUUUUCUUUUUUUCUUUUUCAUUUUCUACUUAUAAUUAGUAUUUUAGCAUAUUUUUUAAUCUGUAUAACUUAUGUUAAUUGUUUAAUUAUCAGAAUAUAGAAGAUGACAUUGUAUGUUCUUUAGGAUAUAAGUAUAUAUUUAAUUAAUUUUGAUGUUCAAUACAUAUCUUUCUAAACUAUUUAAUGUCAAGGUUUGUUAAUCAUUACAUGUUCGAUUGAUUUAUAUAAGUGAGGAUGUACUUAAUAGAAAUAUUUAGCUUACACUAUUUAAUAGAAAUCUCUUGUUCAUGAUCACUUUAUGAUUGUAUAAACAAAAUACAAAGGGUAAAAAAAUACGUACACUUGAUAAAUUGUCAUAUUUUCCUUUUUUUUCUUUCUUUUAUGAGUCAUUUUCUUUCUUAUCUAUCAAAUGUACAGAUCAAGUGAUUUCUGAUAUAGGUUGAUCUUUUGAAGGUUACACAUCUCUAACUUGUUUAUUUUGUCACUCUAUUCAUCUGUGUUUCCUCUUAUUUUCAAUUUUAUUCUUGCCUCACCAAUGAUUAUGAUCGGGUUUUUUGUAUUGUUUUGAUGAGAUUGAGAUGUUUGUUAGGAUUAUGAGGAUCUCACAAUAAUAAAGGUGAUGCUAAUGUAACACUGGAAAAAUGAUUGAGUUGGUUUCCUUUAUACCACACGAUCUCAUUUUCAUUUUCUUAUAAUUAUUCUGUUUUCUUUUUUUCUUUUUCAUUUUCUACUUAUAAUUAGUAUUUUAGCAUAUUUUUUAAUCUGUAUAACUUAUGUUAAUUGUUUAAUUAUCAGAAUAUAGAAGAUGACAUUGUAUGUUCUUUAGGAUAUAAGUAUAUAUUUAAUUAAUUUUGAUGUUCAAUACAUAUCUUUCUAAACUAUUUAAUGUCAAGGUUUGUUAAUCAUUACAUGUUCGAUUGAUUUAUAUAAGUGAGGAUGUACUUAAUAGAAAUAUUUAGCUUACACUAUUUAAUAGAAAUCUCUUGUUCAUGAUCACUUUAUGAUUGUAUAAACAAAAUACAAAGGGUAAAAAAAUACGUACACUUGAUAAAUUGUCAUAUUUUCCUUUUUUUUCUUUCUUUUAUGAGUCAUUUUCUUUCUUAUCUAUCAAAUGUACAGAUCAAGUGAUUUCUGAUAUAGGUUGAUCUUUUGAAGGUUACACAUCUCUAACUUGUUUAUUUUGUCACUCUAUUCAUCUGUGUUUCCUCUUAUUUUCAAUUUUAUUCUUGCCUCACCAAUGAUUAUGAUCGGGUUUUUUGUAUUGUUUUGAUGAGAUUGAGAUGUUUGUUAGGAUUAUGAGGAUCUCACAAUAAUAAAGGUGAUGCUAAUGUAACACUGGAAAAAUGAUUGAGUUGGUUUCCUUUAUACCACACGAUCUCAUUUUCAUUUUCUUAUAAUUAUUCUGUUUUCUUUUUUUCUUUUUCAUUUUCUACUUAUAAUUAGUAUUUUAGCAUAUUUUUUAAUCUGUAUAACUUAUGUUAAUUGUUUAAUUAUCAGAAUAUAGAAGAUGACAUUGUAUGUUCUUUAGGAUAUAAGUAUAUAUUUAAUUAAUUUUGAUGUUCAAUACAUAUCUUUCUAAACUAUUUAAUGUCAAGGUUUGUUAAUCAUUACAUGUUCGAUUGAUUUAUAUAAGUGAGGAUGUACUUAAUAGAAAUAUUUAGCUUACACUAUUUAAUAGAAAUCUCUUGUUCAUGAUCACUUUAUGAUUGUAUAAACAAAAUACAAAGGGUAAAAAAAUACGUACACUUGAUAAAUUGUCAUAUUUUCCUUUUUUUUCUUUCUUUUAUGAGUCAUUUUCUUUCUUAUCUAUCAAAUGUACAGAUCAAGUGAUUUCUGAUAUAGGUUGAUCUUUUGAAGGUUACACAUCUCUAACUUGUUUAUUUUGUCACUCUAUUCAUCUGUGUUUCCUCUUAUUUUCAAUUUUAUUCUUGCCUCACCAAUGAUUAUGAUCGGGUUUUUUGUAUUGUUUUGAUGAGAUUGAGAUGUUUGUUAGGAUUAUGAGGAUCUCACAAUAAUAAAGGUGAUGCUAAUGUAACACUGGAAAAAUGAUUGAGUUGGUUUCCUUUAUACCACACGAUCUCAUUUUCAUUUUCUUAUAAUUAUUCUGUUUUCUUUUUUUCUUUUUCAUUUUCUACUUAUAAUUAGUAUUUUAGCAUAUUUUUUAAUCUGUAUAACUUAUGUUAAUUGUUUAAUUAUCAGAAUAUAGAAGAUGACAUUGUAUGUUCUUUAGGAUAUAAGUAUAUAUUUAAUUAAUUUUGAUGUUCAAUACAUAUCUUUCUAAACUAUUUAAUGUCAAGGUUUGUUAAUCAUUACAUGUUCGAUUGAUUUAUAUAAGUGAGGAUGUACUUAAUAGAAAUAUUUAGCUUACACUAUUUAAUAGAAAUCUCUUGUUCAUGAUCACUUUAUGAUUGUAUAAACAAAAUACAAAUGUAAAAAAAAUACGUACACUUGAUAAAUUGUCAUAUUUUCCUUUUUUUCUUUCUUUUAUGAGUCAUUUUCUUUAUGAUCUAUCAAAUGUAAAGAUCAAGUGAUUUCUGAUAUAGGUUGGUCUUUUGAAGGUUACACAUCUCUAACUUGUUUAUUUUGUCACUCUAUUCAUCUGUGUAUCCUCUUAUUUUCAAUUUUAUUCUUGCCUCACCAAUGAUUAUGAUCGGGUUUUUUGUAUUGUUUUGAUGAGAUUGAGAUGUUUGUAAGGAUUAUGAGGAUCUCACAAUAAUAAAGGUGAUGCUAAUGUAACCCUGGAAAAAUGAUUGAGUUGGUUUGCUUUAUACCACACGAUCUCAUUUUCAUUUUCUUAUAAUUAUUCUUUUUUCUUUUUUCUUUUUCAUUUUCUACUUAUAAUUAGAAUUUUAGCAUAUUUUUUAAUCUGUAUAACUUAUGUUAAUUGUUUAAUUAUCAGAAUAUAGAAGAUGACAUUGUAUGUUCUUUAGGAUAUAAGUAUAUAUUUAAUUAAUUUUAAUGUUCAAUACAUAUCUUUCUAAACUAUUUAAUGUCAAGGUUUGUUAAUCAUUACAUGUUCGAUUGAUUGAUAUAAUUGAGGAUGUACUUAAUAGAAAUAUUGAGCUUACACUAUUUAAUAGAAAUCUCUUGUUCAUGAUCACUUUAUGAUUGUAUAAACAAAAUACAAAGGGUAAAAAAAUACGUACACUUGAUAAAUUGUCAUAUUUUCCUUUUUUUUUCUUUCUUUUCUGAGUCAUUUUCUUUCUUAUCUAUCAAAUAUACAGAUCA
rnacentral:lncRNA from 1 species